CAGAGUACAGAUUAUGGAGGUAUCUGAAGUUGAACUAACUGGAAGCAGGGAACCAUACUAAUAAAGUUCCUUAAGCAGGUUCCUUGUAAAGAUGAACCCAGGGAAGGAUCGAAAGUGGAGAAGACCAGAUCAAGAAAGACCACAUCAAGAUCUGCGGUCAGUUCAAAGGAUGUUUUGCAUUGGACUGUUUUUUUUUUUGGCUUUGACCCUUGCUCGACCCUGACCUCACUCUUGGACUGCCCUAUUGGAUUUUCAGUUUAUUUAAUUUAAUUAAUUAAUUUUUUUUUGGUUCUGGGUAAAUGCUAAUAAAUAUUUAGUUGUAAUUAUUUAAGUAAUAUGUUUUUGUUAAAUAUGCGAUUUCUGUGUUUGUUCUGUCUACUCAUAC
ensembl:processed_transcript